CAACCCUCAAGCUCUGCUUGGUAUUGGGUGCCGUCCCCCGGGGCGCACCUCAAAAACAGUGGCGGCGCCGUCCGGCUUCAAGCGUAGUAAUUCUUCUCGCUCUGGAGGACCGGCCGGUUGCUUGCCAGCAACCCCAAUUUUUUACU
rnacentral:misc_RNA from 1 species